GAUGAACGCUAGCGGCAGGCCUAACACAUGCAAGUCGAGGGGUAGAGGCUUUCGGGUCUUGAGACCGGCGCACGGGUGCGUAACGCGUAUGCAAUCUGCCUUGUACUGAGGGAUAGCCCAGAGAAAUUUGGAUUAACACCUCAUAGUAUUUUAGUGUGGCAUCACAUUAUUAUUAAAGGUUACGGUACAAGAUGAGCAUGCGUCCCAUUAGCUAGUUGGUAUGGUAACGGCAUACCAAGGCUACGAUGGGUAGGGGUCCUGAGAGGGAGAUCCCCCACACUGGUACUGAGACACGGACCAGACUCCUACGGGAGGCAGCAGUGAGGAAUAUUGGUCAAUGGUCGCAAGACUGAACCAGCCAUGCCGCGUGCAGGAUGAAGCAUCUAUGGUGUGUAAACUGCUUUUGUACGGGAAGAAACACCGCUACGUGUAGCGGCUUGACGGUACCGUAAGAAUAAGGAUCGGCUAACUCCGUGCCAGCAGCCGCCGUAACAC
rnacentral:rRNA from 1 species